AACGAACGCUGGCGGCAUGCCUAACACAUGCAAGUCGAGCGGACCCUUCGGGGUUAGCGGCGGACGGGUGUGUAACGCGUGGGAAUAUGCCCUUCUCUACGGAAUAGUCCUGGGAAACUGGGGGUAAUACCGUAUACGCCCUUUGGGGGAAAGAUUUAUGGGGGCAGGAUUAGCCCGCGUUGGAUUAGGUAGUUGGUGGGGUAAUGGCCUACCAAGCCGACGAUCCAUAGCUGGUUUGAGAGGAUGAUCAGCCACACUGGGACUGAGACACGGCCCAGACUCCUACGCGAGGGAGCAGUGGGGAAUCUUAGACAAUGGGGGCAACCCUGAUCUAGCCAGGCCGGGUGAGUGAUGAAGGCCUUAGGGUUGUAAAGCUCUUUCAGCUGGGAAGAUAAUGACGGUACCAGCAGAAGAAGCCCCGGCUAACUACGUG
rnacentral:rRNA from 1 species